AUGCACGCUGGCGGCGUGCCUCAUUCAUGCAAGUCGAGCGAACAGACGAGGAGCUUGCUCCUCUGACGUUAGCGGCGGACGGGUGAGUAACACGUGGAUAACCUACCUAUAAGACUGGGAUAACUUCGGGAAACCGGAGCUAAUACCGGAUAAUAUAUUGAACCGCAUGGUUCAAUAGUGAAAGACGGUUUUGCUGUCACUUAUAGAUGGAUCCGCGCCGCAUUAGCUAGUUGGUAAGGUAACGGCUUACCAAGGCAACGAUGCGUAGCCGACCUGAGAGGGUGAUCGGCCACACUGGAACUGAGACACGGUCCAGACUCCUACGGGAGGCAGCAGUAGGGAAUCUUCCGCAAUGGGCGAAAGCCUGACGGAGCAACGCCGCGUGAGUGAUGAAGGUCUUCGGAUCGUAAAACUCUGUUAUUAGGGAAGAACAAAUGUGUAAGUAACUAUGCACGUCUUGACGGUACCUAAUCAGAAAGCCACGGCUAACUACGUG
rnacentral:rRNA from 1 species